CCCUAACCCUCAGAGCCAGGCCUCCCAGACUUGGGUCAUUGUGUGUAUGCAUGGGUCAGUGUGUGUUUCUGCAUGGGUCAGUGUGUGUGCCUGUAUGGGUCAGUGUGUGUGUGUCUGCAUGGGUCAUUGUGUGACUGCAUGGCUCAUUGUGUAACUGCAUGGGUCAUUGAGUGUCUGUAUGGGUCAUUGUGUGUCUACAUCGGUCAGUGUGUGUGUCUGCAUGGGCCAGUGUGUGU